UACGUAGGGUGCAAGCGUUGUCCGGAAUUAUUGGGCGUAAAGAGCUCGUAGGCGGUUUGUCGCGUCGACUGUGAAAACUCGAGGCUUAACCUCGAGCCUGCAGUCGAUACGGGCAGACUAGAAUUCGGUAGGGGAGACUGGAAUUCCUGGUGUAGCGGUGAAAUGCGCAGAUAUCAGGAGGAACACCGGUGGCGAAGGCGGGUCUCUGGGCCGAUAUUGACGCUGAGGAGCGAAAGCGUGGGGAGCGAACAGG
rnacentral:rRNA from 1 species